rnacentral:rRNA from 1 species
GACAGAGGGUGCAAACGUUGUUCGGAAUUACUGGGCGUAAAGCGUGUGUAGGCGGCCAUAUAAGUCGGAUGUGAAAGCCCUGGGCUCAACCCAGGAGGUGCACUCGAUACUGUAUGGCUUGAGUACUGGAGAGGUUGGUGGAAUUCUCGGUGUAGAGGUGAAAUUCGUAGAUAUCGAGAGGAACACCGGUGGCGAAGGCGGCCAACUGGACAGAUACUGACGCUGAGACACGAAAGCGUGGGGAGCAAACAGG